UGAGCAACCUGCCCUUGACCCUGGAAUAACAGUUGGAAACAGCUGCUAAUACCGGAUACGACCUCCGACGGCAUCAUCUGGAGGUGGAAAGCUCCGACGGUCAAGGAUGGGCUCGCGGCCUAUCAGCUUGUUGGUGAGGUAACGGCUCACCAAGGCUUCGACGGGUAGCCGGCCUGAGAGGGUGACCGGCCACACUGGGACUGAGACACGGCCCAGACUCCUAUGGGAGCAG
rnacentral:rRNA from 1 species